rnacentral:ncRNA from 1 species
UUGAAUUCGUUGAAAGUUACGAAGUACAUGAUAGGCUCUUUCAAGAGAGGGGUUUUCAUUGGCUGUAAGAAACCCUAAAGGUAGCGUCAUGGAAAGCUAAACUGGAGUGCGGUUAAUUCCCGUCGGUGUCAUACCGUUACAAUGACUGAGUGGUGAAUACAACUUGUAUUCAUAAUUAGGGUGGUACCGCGAAUAUAUCUCGUCCCUGCA